AUGCUUACCUGGCAGGGGAGAUGCCAUGAUCAGAAAGGCAGUCACCCAGGGUGAGACCCAGCCAUUGCCCUGCGGCUGUGCUGCCCCCCACCAAUUCCCCAAAUGUGGGAGUCUCCACUGCAUAAUUUCUGGUAGUGGCGGGUUGUGUUCGCGCUCUCCCCUG
ensembl:snRNA U1 U1 spliceosomal RNA